GACAGAGGGUGCAAACGUUGUUCGGAAUUACUGGGCGUAAAGCGAGUGUAGGCGGUUUGUUAAGUCGGAUGUGAAAGCCCCGGGCUCAACCCGGGAAGUGCACUCGAUACUGCCAAGCUAGAGUAUCGGAGAGGUUGGUGGAAUUCUCGGUGUAGAGGUGAAAUUCGUAGAUAUCGAGAGGAACACCGGUGGCGAAGGCGGCCAACUGGACGAAUACUGACGCUGAGACUCGAAAGCGUGGGGAGCAAACAGG
rnacentral:rRNA from 1 species